GGCGAGUGGCGAACGGGUGAGUAAUAUAUCGGAACGUACCCAAGAGUGGGGGAUAACGUAGCGAAAGUUACGCUAAUACCGCAUACGAUCUAAGGAUGAAAGCAGGGGAUCUUCGGACCUUGUGCUCCUGGAGCGGCCGAUAUCUGAUUAGCUAGUUGGUGAGGUAAAGGCUCACCAAGGCCACGAUCAGUAGCUGGUCUGAGAGGACGACCAGCCACACUGGAACUGAGACACGGUCCAGACUCCUACGGGAGGCAGCAGUGGGGAAUUUUGGACAAUGGGCGAAAGCCUGAUCCAGCAAUGCCGCGUGAGUGAAGAAGGCCUUCGGGUUGUAAAGCUCUUUUGUCAGGGAAGAAACGGUGAGGGCUAAUAUCCUUCGCUAAUGACGGUACCUGAAGAAUAAGCACCGGCUAACUACGUGCCAGCAGCCGCGGUAAUACGUAGGGUGCAAGCGUUAAUCGGAAUUACUGGGCGUAAAGCGUGCGCAGGCGGUUUUGUAAGUCUGACGUGAAAUCCCCGGGCUCAACCUGGGAAUUGCGUUGGAGACUGCAAGGCUAGAAUCUGGCAGAGGGGGGUAGAAUUCCACGUGUAGCAGUGAAAUGCGUAGAGAUGUGGAGGAACACCGAUGGCGAAGGCAGCCCCCUGGGUCAAGAUUGACGCUCAUGCACGAAAGCGUGGGGAGCAAACAGGAUUAGAUACCCUGGUAGUCCACGCCCUAAACGAUGUCUACUAGUUGUCGGGUUUUAAUUAACUUGGUAACGCAGCUAACGCGUGAAGUAGACCGCCUGGGGAGUACGGUCGCAAGAUUAAAACUCAAAGGAAUUGACGGGGACCCGCACAAGCGGUGGAUGAUGUGGAUUAAUUCGAUGCAACGCGAAAAACCUUACCUACCCUUGACAUGUACGGAAGACCGAAGAGAUU
rnacentral:rRNA from 1 species